GGCCCCACCCUCCUGUUGUGGUUAGACCCAGUAGUUAGAAGUUAGAGUGAGCAGGGCAGUGGACAGGUUGUGGAAGAUGGCCAUUAGAAGGCUGAAGUUAUGCUGUGGAGAAAAAAGAAACCAAGCUAUUGAUUCAAUUGGGAAGGCAAACAACUUCAGGCUUUACCCCCUGAUGGAGGUCCUGGACAGGUAUAAACAUUCUGAGGCUCUAAAAUCGUGUGCAUACUGGGAUUGGUGGAGUCAGGAUGGAAAUUAUGUCCUCCUCAGCUGUGGGAACAACACUUCCUUUGACUAUGAAAGCGUAGGACAAAGAGAAGUUGAAGAAAAUAGACAUGAGGAGUAGGUGAAGUCAGAAAAGGAAAUUAGCUUGGUGGACGAAAGAUGGCAGCUUGUGUAAGCUGUGAUCUUACUCCUCAACGUGGACAGAAGAGCAGCAGAAACAGUCACUGUGGAAUCCUAAGGAAUGUGGAUCAGCCCCAGUCCAGACCUUCUCCAAUUCUGCUUCUAGCAAGUGCCUCAGGAGAUCUGUGCACACACUGGAGUUUGAGACCUGACCUAGGAGACAACUUUGUAGUUGCAGCAUCAUCCACUCACUCCCCUCUCCUCUUAAAAUAACUCUAGAAAAGUAUUUUCUGAAUCUUGUCUUUUCAUCCACAGCAUAUCUUGAUCAAAACAUUCUUAGAAUACCAUCUGAUUUUUAUAGCUUCUCAUAGUCUGCCUUUCCCGGUAAAGUACAAUGAAACUUCUUUAUAUUUCACAUAUACACAUUCUACUUGGGACUUUUCUCUUGUUCCUAAUUUUUUUCUGUUAUAUACCAUAGGGUUAAAGUACAAAGAAGAGAAUUAUAGUCUUAUCAGCAAUAAAAAUGUGUACUAAUGAGUGCAAUAUUGAGUUGUUAAAUCAUUUGUUGGUGCCAGUCCCUCAUAGCAUUUACUUAGCAUUAAAGUCCUGGAGUCAAGAAGCAUAUUUUUGUUCAAGUGAAAUGCCGGAGUCCUUCAAGCACUAGGACUAGCUUAGGUUUAUGGCAACAAUGAAUAUGACAAAUUUUCAUAAAAUAUGAUCAAGCCAAAUUAACAGUACACUAAAAGUGUGGUUACAUAUUGUUUAUUAUUUAUUAAAGCCACUGGAGAUCAAAAUAGCAAAGCAGACAUACUAGUUAGCCAUAGAAACCAGGAACACACCUUUAAUUCCAGGACUCAGGAUUAAGAGGUAGAUGGAUCUCUGAGUACAAGACCACCCUGGGAUACCAGAGUGUGAAUCAGGGCUCACAACUUUAAUCCCAGGAUUUGAGACGUACAAAAGGUAGAAAGGGUAUCUCAGUCAGAAAAUUAGUCAUUAGCCAUGUUGAGGAGAGCACAGCAGUCUGAGUGAAUCUGAGGAGCAGUGAAGUCAGGAGCAGUUUGAGGAUCACAACUUUAUCUGAGCUGAGGUAGAGGUAAGAGCUAGUGGCUGGCCGCUUUGCUUUUCUGAUCUUCAGCUUGAAACUUGAACCCUAAUAUCCUC
rnacentral:lncRNA from 1 species